ACACGACUACAUUAGAUACCCCCGGUAGUCCUAGCCGUAAACGAUACUCGCUAGGUGUCGGCCACGGUGCGACCGUUGUCGGUGCCGUAGGGAGCCGUGAAGCGAGCCACCUGGGAAGUACGGCCGCAAGGCUGAAACUUAAAGGAAUUGGCGGGGGAGCACAACAACGGGUGGAGCUUGCGGUUUAAUUGGAUUCAACGCCGGAAAUCUUACCGGGACCGACAGCAACAUGAAGGCCAAGCUGAAGACUUUGCCGGAUUAGCUG
rnacentral:rRNA from 1 species